rnacentral:rRNA from 2 species
UGGGGAAUCUUGCACAAUGGAGGAAACUCUGAUGCAGCGAUGCCGCGUGAGUGAAGAAGGCCUUUGGGUUGUAAAGCUCUUUUGUAGGGGAAGAUAAUGACUGUACCCUAAGAAUAAGGUCCGGCUAACUUCGUGCCAGCAGCCGCGGUAAUACGAAGGGACCUAGCGUAGUUCGGAAUUACUGGGCGUAAAGCGCGCGUAGGCCGUUGAGUUAGUUAAUUGUGAAAUCCCAAAGCUUAACUUUGGAACUGCAAUUAAAACUGCUCGACUAGAGUUUGAUAGAGGAAAGCGGAAUACAUAGUGUAGAGGUGAAAUUCGUAGAUAUUAUGUAGAACACCAGUUGCGAAGGCGGCUUUCUGGAUCAACACUGACGCUGAGGCGCGAAAGUAUGGGUAGCAAAGAGG